ACAACUCUUCCGAGCACGCGGCCGUCUCCUUUGUCAUCAUCAUCAGCUCAGAUCUAGCAGCUUCGCCUUCUCAGGUAUAAUUGGAGUGCUGUCAUAAGUGGAGUGUUGUUAGUUACAUGUGUGCUGAUCAUUCUAAUCACAUUGUUCGUCGUUAAUCAUGUGAAGAAAAUAUUCAAAGUUAUAACUUGAAUUUUUGUUGAAUCUGGCAAUUGUAUGGCCUAGAAUUUAUUGUUCAUUAGUCAGAAAGACUACGU
rnacentral:lncRNA from 1 species